rnacentral:lncRNA from 1 species
UUUUUUUUUCUUUCCUUUUUUCUCUCUUUUUUUUCUUUAUCUUCUUUUUCUCCCUCUUUCCAAGACAAACUAGAUAAGAUGCAGAUUCGAUCAGGCGAAGAUGUGAGUGACCUCAACUAUAAUUAUGACAAUAAACAGUGCGUAGCACGUGGUGGAAAUUGGUGGAUUGGAUGGUGGACAGCGGAUGGGAUAAUGAUGCAGCGGCUGCGUGACUAAUAUGAACAGAACUCGAAACUCUAAAGGAACUAGACACUAAGACCAGCAACUCGACACGGCGAUGCAACCAAUAAUUCAAUAAUGCAAACAAUGAAUAGAAAAUUGCAAAGGCUCAGACUGGCUUGGAUAAAGGAUGAACAGAUCUAACUUUUUUUUGUGGCUUUUUCUUGGACAAUAGGUAAGAAAAUAAAUCUAAUCUAAGAAAAACUGGAAAUUCUCACCGAGCAACCUGAAAACUGAUACCACUUGAUACCACUUGAUAGAGGCAAAGGUGUCCCGUCUUUCGAUGAGAUGGUGGAUUUCGCUUUGGUGGAAGUCGACUUUGACGAUCCGACUAUGAACGUGCGAGGACGUCGCGCCUUAGCAAUCGCUAAACCAACUCCGAGAGGUUAUUGACCACGCCGGAGCACGAUCAACCUGACCACGAGGGUCUGUUUCCUGCGAGCAAACGAAGAACAAGCAAGAAACUAAGAUUGCAAUCUGGAUAUUGCGAAUAUAAGAUGAAAGCUUUAUUGAUCAAGGUGGGGUUCUGUGACGCCUUUGUCUGGUCGUUGAACACAAACGAAGUACGCGAAGUUGCAGCUAUGGCGAACUUUUAAUCUAAACAAAACCCAAGGAAAAGCUACUAGAUGGAUCUACUUAUAUAGGAGCAAGGGGUGGCGGCCAAGGAGGUGGGAGGACGUCCCAAGGCAGCCUAAAACUAAAUCUAGGUCGUACAAGGCCAAUGGGCCCAAGUGGAGGUGAUGUAACACCUUUGGACUUGUAGUUUGACUCGGAUUCUGCUGCAGCAUCAGAUUGUUUCGUCCACAACUCAACGCUCCGGACGAAUUUGAUGGUGAUUCCAAUUGGGUUGGAAAGUGCACGAAAUCUAGUUUCCAACAAAAAAAGAAUCACCCAAUUCGGAGUCCGUAUGAAAAACUUGUGUGCGUUUUGAGUCAGGUGUGUCUGUGCAGUCCGAAUCUGAAUCCAGAACGUGAGAGACUUGGACUCUAUCUUCUCUUGGGCCAAAAGUGACGUGAGAGAACUUUUUGGACAGCAAAUAAACAUCUCGUUCUUCCUUAUCUUCAUAUGUGGAUUGUACAAAUGUCCCAUACACCUGCAAAUAGACAAAACACAAAAGUGUGUGAAGUAUUUUUGUUCUGGAUAACAUAAAUAGAUUAUUGAAUAGUUUGCACUAGAAAUCACCUGACAAAUAUGCAUAUAUGCAAUAUUUUUGGUCAUAUCCAAGGUAGUCAUGUCCUCAUCACCUCACAAUGGACAAACUGUUGCCUUCUGGUCUAACCAUUGGGAUGGCACCCCCAAUGCCUAGCUAUGGCCCCAUUUGCACUCUUUCUCUAAAGAACAGUCUAUCACUUUACAUGCCUUACAUUCUUUAGAUGAUCUAGCUACCCACUUUCAGUUUCUACUAUCUGAAGAAACAUAUCUGCAGUUCCAGGGACAUAACUCAUGGCAUCUUCCUGCAGGUGCGUACAACUACAAGGUCUCAAAGGCAUAUAGGUUAAUGACUGUCCAUCCUCUUGUCUUGCCAGUAAUCAAAUGGCUUUGGAAAUCCUAUUGUCAGCUCGAAUAUGAUUUUUUUUCUGGUUGAUGGUUAACAACAGACAGAACACAAGAGCACCGGCAAGAUUUCAUGUUUGAGCUGACAAUAGGAUUUCCAAAGCCAUUUUAUUACUGGCAAGACUAGAGGAUGGACAGUCAUUAACCUAUGCUAGAUCAUGAUUGGCGCGCGUUGCUGCGCCCAUAUAUUUUUACUGUAAAAUAAUAGGCACAUUUGCAAAUAUAUUAAGGCAUAUGACCUGAAGGUUGUGUUUGCAUAAAGAGCCAUAUAGUGGUGAAUUUUGGCUUAUAGCCUGAAUGUGAGAGUAUUAUGAUUAAUCGCCUCAUAAUUUUGAAAGAAUUCAUGAACAUUGUGGUUGCUAUAUACAUCUAUUUGAGCGACAACUAAUUUUGGACGGAGGGAAUAUAUGAAACCAAACCAUACAUUGUUUAGAGAAUAUAACAUUAUUUUGGGUUGAAGAGAGUGAGAAACAAACAUCCGCAACUGCCAUAGUGACGGAACAAUCCUAAUGACUCGUACCAUGCACAUAUAUACAGUAUAGUAGAUUCCAUAAAUAGUAUAAAUCCAGAUAGAAGCAAUUCAUUUAUAUUGUCAUUUGAAAGGUAGAUCGAUCAAAGAAAGGUGAAAGAGAAUGUAUCAGAAAAGUUGCACCACGAUGAUAUGUUGGGCUUAGAGUUACAAAUUGGAAGAGCAGAUCCAUGGCUAGAGAGCAGGGCAUGCAAAUUGUUAGGCUAGAACUUUCCCGAACAAAUACACCUUAAGCCAAAAACCAUAGUCCAAGAAUUUCUCCAACAAAUUGAUCACAAUCCAACACUUUAAUUUAUAUAGGACCUGCAAAUACGUGAGACAAAGGAAACAUCAUUAGUUAGGAGUCUGAACAAAAUAGAAUUAGGUUGGAUAAAGGUCGUACAGGGAAGAAAAAUGAGCAAAUUAGCCCAGAAGCAUAGUCGCGAAGGCUAACAAAACCACGGAACAAAUGUGUCAUUCAACAAUAUCCGGGUGUUAAGUGUAAUGUGAUAAAUUAUAUAACCAAUAAACAACUAUUUAUAUACCCAAAUUAUUGUUUGAAUACAUAGAUACCCAGUCCUGAUGAAAGAUUAUGCCCUUUAAAUCCUAAUGGUUUAUGGGCAAAAGAAAUUAAAUAAGGCUUGACGAUUAUCAUCAUUUGGCUAUGGCACUUUAUUUCCAGAUGAUCUCGAAUAGCAGAUUCAUAGAUAAGGCAUACAUAUUCUGUCCAUUCCAACUCAACUUAGACUAAUGAAUUUUAUUUUUUGUGGCUCGAACAAUUUUAAAGUGUUGAUAGUAAUAGUGUAGGGAAGAACAAAGCCAAGAGGAGUUAUCUAGUCUUACAAAGUAUCCGAGCCUUACCAAAGAAGCCAAUCUUCACCUAAUUAGCUUAAAAAGUGUAUCUGCAUUGUCACCCUGCUGCAGUAAUUAUCUUCAGCAAUUCAUCAAACAAAAAUAGGAGAGCUAAUCCAGAGGCAUGAAUAGCUAACAGUGAAAAAAUAAUUAACAUUUCUAAUAACUGAACAAACUAAGCAUUUCCCCACUGCAAAAGAGGGGUAGCAUUGAAGAAAUCUAUUUUCCAAGGAAAACAAUAGAUUAUAUACUAAUAUGCUGAGAACACUACGGAUCUACAUGUGGCUUGGGUUUAAUAGCUUAUCAAUUCCACAAAGCAUGUUAAUCAGCUUGCAAGAAUUUUGACACGUAGGAUUUUUUGUACGGAAAAUAUGAAUACAUCAUACUUAGUGCUCUACCAAGGGAGGAAGAUGUAGACAAAGAAAAGAACACACAAUAAAUGGAACCGAACAAAAUUGUAAUGGGUAUUUCAAAUAUAACCUGGGGAUCAAAGCAUAGCAUGCAUUGGAUUUUAAUCGAGAGACGGUCUCAUUCUCUAAGCAUGCACACUUUCGGAACUAUAUAAAGCACUUUCGGAAAAGUGAAUAUGAAACGAUAAAUAAUUAAAUUUCGAUCUCUAUGGACCAAGAAAACGCUAUCCAACUAUUAUUUGCCUAAAAGUAGAGCAAUUGUAAACUCCUAAACUGAAACUACAUUAAUCAAGGGAUAACAACAUUUACAUGUCCAAACAAAGUGUGUCAUUGAUGGGCUAUAGGUUGUGCAUAACUGUAUAUAAUUUAAGAAAAUUUACUCAUCAAUAUGAGUAUUCACUCUGUUAACUUGAAUGACCUUAUUGCUGGUGACACAAUAUACAAUGGGUUAGAAUUCAGAAAUCAAGUGCUUACCUCAGAUAGAUUUUCUCAUGCCAUAUAUCAUGCUUUGACAGCUUUCUCUCAAGCAUGAGCUUCUUUUCCACCACUACUUGAUAUGAUAGGAAGCAUUUUUUUAGAUAAAAUUCCCUACAUUAAAUAUAUCAACAAACGUGAUCAGUCAAAUAAAAAUCAAUAGUCAGCAUAAUAUUUGAGUUGACAGCACGCUGACAAUACCAAGCUAGGAGCUACAUCAAAAUUUAAUUGUCGCACAAGAUAUAUUUUGGGGCGUUGGUGCCUAGCAUACGUGUUGCAUGCAUUGGAAUUUUUCACUUGUCAGCCAAAGUGACGCAUAACAGACCUUGGGGGCAUUGCUAUUGUGGUGGCAUAAAGUCAGAUUAGCCAAGUACCAACUGAAGACUCCCAUUGUUGGUCAAUGUGUUUGCAAAAAAAAACCUUGCAAACUGCAUUGACUCUCUGCAAAAAGAUAGAGAAACUCAUCUCGGUUCUUCACAGGCGAAAAGAUAGACACAUGUAGUCUACAAACAAAAUAACUGAUUGCUGGAUAGCAAGGAUAUUCCUAAAUUCAUGUGUAAUCCUGUUCUCAGGCCAUCAGCGCCACGACCAUCAGAUCUACAGUUUUGGACGUCUUCAGCCGUCUGAUGAAACUCUAGUAUAAAAUAAGUUAUGUGCCAGCAUCAUGGCCGGCAACAUGAUUUGAUGUCAAAGAAGAGCCUGUCUGGAGUGCUUUGCUGCAACAAUCUUCUUCAAACAAGCAUGCGAACAUACUCACAAAAUAAACAGAUCGGAGGGCAUGAGCCACGACGUCUUUGUAAUCUGAUUGUUUUAGGGCUCCUCAAGUGCUAAUCAGAUCUUCAAAUUAACUACUCACAGAAUAAACAGAACUCAGUUUCAAAUCAUUCGAACAGAGCAUGAGGGAACGAGGUGUGGGGAAGUUGUAGCGGAAUACGUCUGGGUACCUACUGGAACAAAAUCACUAAGUGCUGUCGAGCGGGAUCCUUAUAGGAUAUAAUAGGGAGGAUCUCGAUUACUAGCAAUAAUUCCUCUCAGAGGCAGGAUUCAGUGGCGAUUACAGAGGGAAUUACAAGAAUGGAGUAGCUAGGGUUCGUCGCGAGGGAGGAAGGGGAAGGGGAUAAGAGCUGUGCCGCCGUUGCCGUGAUCCACUGGAUACCGGCCCUGUACGUUGUUCCUGAUACUUGUAGUCACAGACUCGCAGUAGGGCUGCGGUUGUAGCUCCUGCAGUAGUGAGGUAGGUGGGCCUAGCCCAUAGCUAUCGGCCCAUGAGGAGGGAUGCUGACAUCCCCUCCCCCUUAACAACCGGCUUGCCCUCAAGCCGGUUCCCGCUCUUCGCCGGUCCACAGGGGAGUUGCAUUGUACAUAGCAGCAAGAGCAUAUGCAGGGUGCGGUCAACAAGCCAAGGAAUAGAACAUGGUACGCGCAAGCUCUGGACUGCAAGCUCAAUCCUCCUGGAUCCCAAGACAUCCUUGAUUGGUAGAAGCGGUUGUUGUGGCCGGCAGAAGCCACACCAAAGGAGUCAAGGACGUAGCCAUUGCUAGCACAGUCGUGGUCGAAGCCGAGGAUGUAGUCAUAUGCGGGGUGCAUUUUCUUCGCUGAUUCAUAGGAGUGGUUCCUUGCCAACACCAUCCUGAGCAUAUGCAGAGUGCGAUCAGAGAGCCAGGGAAUAGAACAUGGUACUUGCAGGCCUUCAACAUUGGCAAAGUUCAUUCGUCCUAGAUUCCAUUGCUCACAAGAAGAAAAUGCUGGCAGAAUUAACUUCACUGCACACUGUUCAUCGCUUUGCACUCCCUCAUAUUUGAACCUCUCAUACCUGCAGCAAGGGAACCUGCAAUAAGGGUCCUGGAAUAGAUGCAAGUCCUCAACUGAGAGCAGCCCACAACUGAAUUGUCGCAUCGUGAUAAAAGUUUGAGGAUCAUUUUCAGAACUAGAGUUCAUUGCAUGGAAGCCACCACAGGUAGCCGAACUUCUAGAAUUCCAUGGCAUCCCUUCUUGCAUUAAUCCAUUGAUGCUAUAUCCCAACCAAUCAAGAGCAACAAUGAGAUAUGCAUCUAGGCGUGUACCACAACGAGAGUACCACCUAUAUUUUGACGAGGUAAUGAUAUGACCGGCAAAGACCCAAAACUGAGUCAGCUCCAAAAGAACCCAAGUGAGGUGCAGAUAUUCUGAAGUAGUUCUUCCGUUGCUUUUGAAAUCUGUAGGAACAUUUUGUGGGACGAGAUGCGACCAUGGGGGCUUGGGUUGCAACAAGGGCAUAUGCUUCCCUGGUUGUGUGAUAAGCAGUUCCAACGCAAUCAGAAUCAACCUAGUUCCUGCCAGUGGGAUGCCCAAACAUAUGCAACAACUGCAAUUGAAAUUGUUGCUCUCCCCUGCAUUAUACGACAUUCUGCACCUGUGAACUCUGUCAAGAAGCUGCCCAAUGGAAUGCAUCAAUAAUUCAACAACAACCAUGUACUUGUCGCCAGUGAAACAUUCACAAGGCUUGGAACUUGUACCUAAACCCAACCAGGUAAGUGAUAGACUAUCCAAGAGAGAACCCAUGUUGUUGCCAUCGACGACAAGAACCAUGACACCAACAAUAGAAUUAUCUGAAUAAUGAAGCACUGUUGCAAAAUGUACAGCCUGAAUCACAAACAGUUCGAGAGUGUCCAAAGACCAGCCAUGAUUAACUUCACAUGAUAUUGGUUCACAAGGGGGACGAGGCAACAUAAAAAUAUGUUGUGAAUUUUUGUCCUGCGAUUGAUGCUUGCCCCACUGCCAUUGCAUUGUGAUACCAGCUGGAGCAGAAGACAGAAAUGGCCAAAAUUGCAUGAACUAAAGGUAGACACUACUCAGAAGUGAUGUACUCAGAGCACCCAAUUGCUGCUUGCUGAGAAGGAUCUUGUCAUGAUUACUGAAAUCUGAAUCAUUUUUGCCUCGUUUCAGAAACCACAAGCAUGAGAGCUGCACUGGAAGUAUACUUAUGCAAUUUUCCACGAGAUUGGAACAUCUUUCCCAUGCACUGUUAGUGUGAAAGUUGAUUGAAGUACGGCCACUGUCUUUAAAUUCUUCUUGGCUCAAAAAAUUCCAGUGCACUAACAUAGGCAUAAUAUGAAUUAUUCCUUGCAAUUGAUCAGAAAUAGGAAUGCAAGCAAGAAUAACAUAGCCCCAAUCCACUACGCGAUGCUCAUAAACAACCAUAAACUGAUGCUCAAUAUACUUGGUUGAAACAUGACCACUCCCUGUUAAUUCUUCUUGGUUCAAAAAUUUCCAGUGCACUGAGAUAGGUAUAAUAUGAAGUAUGCCCUGCACUGCUCGAGGCUUGUCAGGUGGCAAGGGAAACUGCAUAUUAUGCAUAAGGCAGGGCCUAGCAGCAGAUGUUUUCCUCCCAGAACCGAAUGCCCAUGCAACUUCCCAUUGGAAUUGUUCAAGAGAGUUAGGAAAAGUAGACUGAAUGUUGAAUUCCAUUCUCUUUGUUCCAGCAUGUGCACUAGUCCCAUCAAAACAAUCCCUUGGCUCAUUGGAAACCACGAAGGUAAGCUGCUCAAUAGGCCAGGACUGAUGCUCCACUGAUACUCCCAUGAAAAUAUGCAAUUGAGUGUCAUAUAUAAAUUGCUGCAAUGUGCUCCUCGUCUUUGCCUGAUGGUCUGGUGGCUAGCAAACAUAACCAGAAGCACUAGUGAUGCAUCCGCCAGCAAUGCCAAGGCACAAAACAACAUUAUCUUCCACAACAAUCAGCUCACAACAAAAAAUUGAACAUGGCCCCUCCUGAUAACUUGCAUCUGAAUGAAACUUGAAAGACGGCCAUGGCCUAGGCCUGAAUAGGUGUCCGCCAUGUCUGGUUCUCACUCUCACAGGUGACAACCAUGGUUGCUGCCCGGUUCCCUGCUGUAUCGAUGGCAGGCACGAGGUUUUGAUCUUGUCCACAAGAUGAACAUGCUUCACCUUGGCCAUCCUGAACUAGACCGUAUGUCAAACACAUGACCAGCAUUGGCGGAGCAGGGUCGCUGGGGAUGAAUAUGAUGAGGGCGAGGUCGUGGUCCGCCUUGCUCAUCACUUGAGUGGAGCUGUCGACAGAGAGGGCAUUGAGCUCCUGCACGCCGGCCUUGGAGUCGACGUCGGUGGUGGUCGUCACGGGAGAAACGACCUCGGCACAAGAGGGGGUGUUGGUGCUGAUGGAGGCCGUUGCCUGCACCGGCACGAGCUGCUCGACUGCUUUGUGGAUGGGGUCGACCGUGGGCUCGAGGUGGACGGUGGCGGCGGCUUCAUGGACCUCGUCGACGUUGUCGAUGGUGUCAACCUGGGUCGAGCACUCCGUCGAACAGGUGACGGGCACCAUCGCGAUGCACAUCGGGGCUGCCUCAUUGGCGGCCGUGGGGAUCUCCUAAGCCUUGGUGGUGGAGCCGGAGACGUCGAGGACGGGCGCCAACGCGUCAGUUGUGCUUUCCGGCGAAGUGGUCGCUGAUGCUUGAUUAUGGACGACGGCAGGCGAACUGGUGGCCCAAUUGACGUCAAGGGCGUUCAGUUUAUCGGCGAGGGACCUAGUGGCGCUGGUGUAGUCGUCGAGCCUAGUGUUGAGCCGCUCGAGGUACUCACGGAUCGAUGGAUCCAUGGCCUUCUCUCGAGUGGUGGUGGUGCAAAAAAAAUAUGAACGAAUUUGUGGGAAGGAAGUGCGGUGCCUGGCUCUGAAUAUCAGAUGAUAGGAUAUAAUAGGGAGGAUCUCGAUUACUAGCAAUAAUUCCUCUCAGAGGCAGGAUUCAGUGGUGAUUACAGAGGGAAUUACAAGAAUGGAGUAGCUAGGGUUCGUCGCGAGGGAGGAAGGGGAAGGGGAUAAGAGCCGUGUCGCCGUUGCCGUGAUCCACUGGAUACCGGACCUGUACGUUGUUCCUGAUACUUGUAGUCGCAGACUCGCAGUAGGGCUGCGGUUGUAGCUCCUGCAGUAGUGAGGUAGGUGGGCCUAGCCCAUAGCUAUCGGCCCAUGAGGAGGGAUGCUGACAGAUCCAUAGCCCUGGACAAUCACUGGAUCAGGAGUGGGGGGGAAGCAAGACGAUGGGGUGGGUCAGAAGGAGGUGGGAGGGAGGGUGACCUUGCAUGUGCCGCGUUGUGGUCGGGCGGUGGCGACGAUUCCUGGGUACUACAUCGUUGCAGCCGCCGCGUCGCUUGCAAAUCAAUGGACAGCCGGGAGAGGAAUGGAUGUACCCGUAGCAGCCAAGGAUCUUCAUCUUCAGAGGGCUGGUAGGGAGCUCGACCGCCACAGAUACCUAGCAAAGGAGGCGAGGUGGCGCGGGGAGGGCGUCGAUUGAAGGGAGGAAAGGGGUGGCCUUUUUUGAGACAGGAGGAAAGGGGUGGCCGUUCGAUGGUUGUUUUGCCUCGUGAGGUUAAAAUGGGCUUCGCCCGAGACUGAGGGCCCAAUUAACCACAGGCCCCCAAUUUUGCCGUGGGAGUAGCUGCCCAUUCCAGUUGCUGGAAGUGUUUGCCUCAAAAAAAAAUUUGCGGGAAGUGUUGCGCUAGAGUUUCAUCGGACGGCUGAAGACGUCCAAAACUGUAGAUCUGAUGGUCGUGGCGCUGAUGGCCUGAGAAGGCUCGAUUAGUGCGCAGUUUUAAUAUUUCUAAAUGCCUUUGAGACCUUGUAGUUGUGUGCGCCUGCAGGAAGAUGACAACAAAAAAACUUUUUCAUCCAAGACUACACAUGUGUCAUGUGUAACAAACAAGCACCGGGGACAAGAGAUCACUUGUACUCCCUCCGUAAACUAAUAUAAGAGCGUUUAGAAUACUAAAGUAGUGAUCUAAACGCUCUUAUAUUAGUUUACAGAGGGAGUACUUCCUUUGCCCAUUUUGAAAAACACUGUUGGCGGUAUGUUUGCCCUUCGUGGAAUCCUACUGAGACAGGUUCCAGGAUGAAAUCUCCCAACUCAAACAGUUGCUGCACUUGGCUCUUGCCAUGGAGACAAUCAUUCUGAUUUCUUGGGCAAUUUGGUCCACAAGGAACGACUUUAUCUUCAAGCACAUUCCUCCCAACCUUUACGUUUGCAGGCGCAGGUUCAAGGAGGAACUCAAAUGGCUUACUUACAGAGUUAAGAGAAAUGAGCUCUCUGGACUCAUAGAUUGGGUCCAGGCCUUGAGAUAGGUCUUUCGACAGACUUGUUGUAAUGGUUGUAUUUCCUUUUCUUGCCUCAUUUUCCUUUUUUCUUCUUUGAACAUUUUCAUGUACCAUUUAUUUGAAAAUCAGUAAAAAUAUGCAGCAGAGUCCUACUGUUUCCCAAAAAAAAAGUACGCCUAUGAAUGCCCAAGACAGAACAGAACGCAUGGAACAUUUGGUUCGGAUCUAUAUGCAGUAUGGCGUCAGCCACCUGCACGCGGCACGCUCCCCCGUGCCGGCACACCACAGCUAGCAGCCUAGCGGUGCACGCCGUUACCUUUGCCAUCACAAGAUUGUCCUUAUUUCGAGACAUCCACAAAUACAAACGGACCCAAAACUAAAUUGAAUGGUCUUUUCUGAAAAAGAAAAAUGAUCUGUGCUGUGCUGUCGAACAAAAUGGUUGUAGCCCUCAAAAAAACAAAAUGGUUGCGGUCCAGCGCCCUGUCACGUACCAGCUCUCGAUUAGCAUGCAUGCAGCAGCUCGUCGGCGACCGAUCGGCGG